ensembl:lncRNA
GAAAAACAAACCAUGCCCUACAGACACAAUAGAAGAGUGAAGAAAAAGCACAGAAAGGAAACUAGAAUUCAUCUUAAUUUAACAAAAGCCUGCUAUAUUUGCCAACAGUGUGGUAGAGUGUACUUCUGGUUGCUCCUUAUGUCUGUGUAUGAUCUUAACCUCCUUGCAGCUAUACCCACAUCUAGAAUAGGGAAAGCUGUGUGGAAAGAAAACCAACUGGCCAACUGCUGAACUUCAUUCCACAUGCCAGAUCUCCAGAAUAACUGCACAGGAAGACUUCAGUUCUUCAGCAAGUUAUGGCCAACAGGGGAAUGAAGAUGACAACGUGCUUCUGGAGCACUGUGAAUGAGCAUCCAGGAUUACAGGGAAGACCUUUCCUUUUUUUUUUUUUUUUUUUUUUUUUUUAGGAAGGAGAGGGCUAGAAAAGUGAGGAUGGGCUCUGCCAUCUCCAUUCCCAGCUAAGAACUUUAUCUAAAACUCAUUUAAGGAUUAUAUGAAUUUCUUUCAAAGCAGUGCUGUAGGCCCAUACAAAUGUAAUAUUUUCCAGAGUACUGUCACAGAUUUCUAAUAAACAAACAACAGUACCACAUGUAUAAGUCAAAAAUUUAAACAACAAUGAUUGCAUUUCUGUUUGCUAAACUCUUUCCUUGGUCUGCUCAUCUGACCAGUCACCACAGUCCCAUGAUCAAUUAAUAAAUCUGCAUUACAUACGGUUUCCGUAUACAAUCUCUUUAGUAAGCAUAACACUAUGUGAAAUCAUUGCCUGUUGUUGACUCGGCAAAAGCUGAGAGGGAAAAAUGAACAGACAAUCAAGGAUUACCGUGAAGUUAAUUUUAGCCCAGCUUUUUCUUGUAUAAAUAAAUUUUCCAUUCACCUUCUCUCUAAUUGAUUAGUACCUAAUUUAAGCAUUUUUUUUUCUUUUUUCUUUCUUUCUUUCUUUCUUUUUUUUUUUUUUUUUUUUUCCCCAGGGAAUGAAAGCGCUUUUCCUGUUACUUCCAGCUUGUUUCUUUUCAUUUCCAUUCCCUCCCCAUCUCACUCUCAGGAAAGCAUCUGCUCAACUUUUUGUUUAUUUAUUUUUAGUUAUUACCAUUGAUCUUGAGAAGCUAAUCAGAACCAAGCCCUGGCUUCCAUCCUAGUAUUUCUAUAUUUUCUUGUAUGUAAGGGUGCAGCAGAGUCUGGCUGCUCCACAGGUUUAGGGGAUGCUGAGAGCAGUGGCAUCUCCCCAAGGAUGGUGGGACAGAACCUGGCUGGUGAGACCCUUCCAGCCUUGCAGGCUGAGCCUUCCCUGCAGUGCUGCGCCUAUGAUGGCUCUCUCUAUGGCUGCCAAGGGAAUGGGCAGCUACUAGCUCGGAGCUGCCCCUGAGCCCCAGAAGAGAGAACUCCAGGAGUGGGGACUUUCUCAUAGCCCUUACAAUAAGCUAUUCAUCCUUGCAGACUAAAAAUCUCACAGUGCAGCUGGCUGUCUUGUUAAAUCUUGAAUCUUUCACACUUCUGGCAUCAUUUAAAUAAAUUAUGUUCUAGACUGCCUGUCAUCAAAGUGACAAAGCUUCUGGG